rfam:Eutrema salsugineum unplaced genomic scaffold scaffold_10, whole genome shotgun sequence.
AAAUGAAUUACAGGGAAAGAUCUCCUUUGGCAUGGAUCUAUUACUUAAUUCUUGCAUAUGCAUAUGUGUUUUAUGGUGAUCUCUAUGCCAAAGGAGAUUUGCCCGGUAAUUGUUUU